GGGGGGGGGGGGGGGGGGGGCGGGCACGGGCAGGGGGGAGGGGGGCGGCGGGGGUGGUGGCGGAGGGGGGGGGAACGCGGGGGAAGCUACCCUUAGGUUCGGAAUAGGUCCCCGAGGGGGGGGCUGAUGCCUGAUACUGUCUACGGACGACGGAUUUGUCGCCUUUGUAUGGGCCCGCGUUGGAUUAGCUAGUUGGUAGGGUAAACGCCUACCCAGGCUACGAUCCAUAGCUGGUCUGAGAGGAUGAUCAGCCACACUGGGACUGAGACACGGCCCAGACUCCUACGGGAGGCAGCAGUGGGGAAUAUUGGACAAUGGGCGAAAGCCUGAUCCAGCAAUGCCGCGUGAGUGAUGAAGGCCUUAGGGUUGUAAAGCUCUUUUACCCGGGAUGAUAAUGACAGUACCGGGAGAAUAAGCUCCGGCUAACUCCGUG
rnacentral:rRNA from 1 species